GAGUGAAAAUGUCAACCCAAAAAAUUAAAAAAAAUAAAAAAACGAAGGCAGAGAGUGCAGCAGUGACGAGGACGACGGCGACACCCUCUUUUUUUUCUGGGUUUUUGGUUUGGGGCUUAUACUUUAUGCACUCGCACUCUGCUACUCCCUUAACAGAAACAAUUGGAGCUCUACGCUCUUAUACUCUUGCAGGUACUUUAGCCCAAUUUGACAAACCCUAAUUUCCAACACUCUGUGGAAAUUCAAGCGGCAAUGCCACUGCAAUUCCCAGUCCCAAAAUUGAGGCUCGAAGAAACCAGCUAGUUUCUGCUCUUCUCAUUCCAAGGAGCGUUCCCGGCCAGGAUAUUUGUGAACAACCACUUACUCCUUGGUGUUUGGAUCUCGCUGGCAUAAUUGUGAGGAUUCUUCAUAGUCAGAGCUAAAGGAAUGAUAUAUAUGUUCAUAUCAUUCAGAAAACUGUAAUGGAAACUGAAGUGUUGGUAGAUGCUGAGGGAGAAAACAUGGAACAUCACGUGGCAGAAAGCAAUGAACCUGAUAAAGGUCAAAAGCAGAAUGUGAAUGAAAAUUUUUCAGGGAGAGAGGUAAAUAUUCAGGAUCAUUCUAAGCCACAUGUGGGAAUGGAAUUCGAGUCGGAGGACGCUGCCAAGAUUCUGUAUGAUGCAUAUGCGAGGAAUGUAGGCUUUAGCACCCAUGUUGGCCAGUUUACUCGUGCUAAGCCUGAUGGACCUAUAGUGACAUGGGACUUUGCAUGUUCGAGAGAGGUAUUCAAACGAAAGAAUGUAGAAAGCUGCAAUGCCAUGCUACGUGUAGAGAGAAAGGAUGCAAACAGUUGGGUUGCGACAAAGUUUGUUGAGGACCACAACCAUUCUAUGGUAAGUCCUAGUAAGGUCCAUUAUCUUCGACCCCGUAGACACUUUGCUGGUGCUACGAAGAAUACAUCUGAGACUUUGGAUGCCACUACUGAUUCAUACUUUUCCAUGGAUGGUAAUCAUGUCUCUUAUGAACCAAAUCGCGGAGGCAGGAGCGUCUCCCCUGUGGAACCAAACCACUCAGCAAGGAUCCUUCGGCCUGUUAACUGUAUAAGGCCGUGUAGCCGAAAGAGAAUGCUUGGGCGAGAUGCUCAAAAUCUUCUAAACUAUUUCAAGAAGAUGCAAGCUGAAAACCCUGGCUUCUUCUAUGCUAUACAGCUUGAUGAUGAAAACCGCAUGACCAAUGUCUUUUGGGUCGAUGCAAGAUCUAGGACAGCUUAUAACCACUUUGGCGAUGCUGUAAUUUUUGAUACAAUGUAUCGACCAAAUCAUUACCAAGUCCCCUUUGCUCCUUUCACUGGUGUAAAUCAUCAUGGUCAGAAGGUCUUGUUUGGUUGUGCAUUACUUCUAGAUGAGUCCGAGUCUAACUUUACAUGGCUGUUUAGGACAUGGCUUUCUGCCAUGAAUGAUCAGCCUCCUGUUUCUAUAACUACAGACCAAGACAGAGCCAUACAAGUAGCAGUUGCUCAGGUUUUUCCAGAAACGCGGCACUGUAUAUGCAAGUGGCAUAUUUUAAGGGAAGGCCAAGAAAGAUUGGCUCAUAUAUAUCUUGCUCAUCCUUCCUUCUAUGGAGAACUUUAUAGUUGCAUCAACUUUUCGGAGACAAUUGAGGAUUUUGAAUCAUCGUGGGCAUCCCUUCUUGAUAGAUACGAUCUACUGAGAAAUGAUUGGCUGCAGGCAGUGUAUAAUGCUCGAAAGCAAUGGGCCCCAGUUUAUUUUCAUGGAACUUUCUUUGCUGCAAUUUCCUCAAAUCAAGGUAUUAGUUCUUUUUUUGAUGGCUAUGUGAAUCAACAAACGAGUAUACCUAUGUUUUUUAAGCAGUAUGAAAGGGCUCUCGAGCAUUCGUUAGAAAAAGAAAUAGAGGCAGAUAUUGAUACAAUGUGCACUACACCUGUACUGAAAACACCUUCACCAAUGGAACAGCAGGCAGCUAACUUGUAUACCAAAAAAGUUUUUGCGAAGUUUCAAGAGGAAUUGGUUGAAACUUUUGUUUAUACUGCAAAUAAGAUUGAGGGUGAUGGGAUAGUCAGUAAAUACAGGGUUGCAAAAUAUGAACAUGAUGAUAAGGCGUAUAUGGUCAUAUUAAAUGUCUCCGAAAUAAAAGCAAGCUGCAGCUGUCAAAUGUUUGAAUAUUCGGGCAUCCUUUGUAGACAUAUUUUGACUGUCUUCACAGUAACAAAUGUUCUUACCCUUCCAUCACAUUACAUAUUGAAGCGAUGGACAAGAAAUGCUAAAUCUUGGGUUGGACUAGAUGAACAAAGUUCAGAUUUGCAAGGUAUUGAGACAUUGACUAUGCGCUUUAACAACCUAUGUCGGGAAGCCAUUAAGUAUGCAGAAGAAGGGGCAGUUGGUGUAGAGACUUACAAUGCGGCAAUGAGUGCUCUACGAGAGGGUGGGAAAAAGAUUGCUGUUGUAAAGAAAAACGUUGCCAAAGUCACGCCUCCUAGCUCUCAGGCAAGUGGAAAUGCACAGGAAGACAGUUUGAAGACAAGCCAAUUGCCACCUGGCGAAAUCGCCCCCUCAUUGUGGCCUUGGCAAGAAGCAUUGCCACAUCGCUUUAAUCUUAAUGAUGGAGGAGUUCCUGCUGCUGAUUUGAACCAGCCCAGCAUGGCUCCUGUCUCCAUUCACCCUGAUGGUGGCAGUCUUGAUAGCACGGUGGUCGUUACUUGUUUCAAGUCCAUGACAUGGAUCAUAGAAAAUAAGAAUUCAACAUCAGCUGGGAAAGUGGCUGUUAUCAACUUGAAGCUACAAGAUUAUGGAAAGAAUCCUGCAGGGGAGAAAGAGGUACAGUUUAGGCUAACAAGGGUUACGCUAGAGCCUAUGUUAAAAUCGAUGGCCUAUAUCAGUCAGCAGCUCUCUGCUCCAGCCAACAGAGUUGCUGUCAUCAAUUUGAAGCUUCAAGAUACAAAGACAACUUCUGGAGAAAUGGAGGUCAAGUUUCAAGUUUCCAGAGAUACACUAGGCUCCAUGUUGAGAUCAAUGACUUACAUACGUGAGCAGCUAUGACAAAUCUGCUCAAGGUUUUCGUACCGUCCAGACCAUCUUGAUAUCUUCAAAACCACACUAGGAUACUUCAGCAAUUUAGCAUUUACAUAUCAUUUCCUACUUAUUGUAUUUAUUCGAGAGCUGCAUUCUGAUGUGAAAGUCUAUAAACAAGAGUUAUUUCAUCUGCUUUGAAGAUGCCUUUACCAAGCUCCGAAGCCAAUAACCGUAUCAAAGUUAUCGAUGUAUGAAAGGCGGCACUAGAGAUAGACAAGUGAGGAUGUGUUGCCCCAUAACCAACGGAUCCGUGUUGAUUGAGUGUUGGAUGAAGAAAUUUGGUUUACUUGUAGUUAGUUGGAGUCUUGUUUAGUUUUAGGUAGGAGGUAUAUAAAUUGUUUCCAUGUAACCGUGUUUUCGUUGUAUUUAUAUGUACAUUGUUAGUUGUGACUGUCCAGAUGCAAUUGAGCCUAGAAUGUUUUCGUUAUAUUUAUGGGAUGUGAUAUUCACAUACCUCAUUUUACUUAUCACACACUUUUCUAAUUUUCGGCCGUCAGAUCGGAUGGAUUGAAGAAGAUCAACGGACAUAAAUGAGUAAGGGAUGUGUGAGAAGUAAUUUGGGAUGUGUGGAUAGCACAUCCCAUAUUUAUAUGCACAUUGUUAGUUGUGAAUGUCCAGAUGCAAUUGAUCCUCGAA